rnacentral:snRNA from 1 species
AGCCGUGUGGUGAAAACAAAGCGAACUAUUCUUUCGCCUUUUACUAAAGAAUACCGUGUGUUCUCCACGCUAAACGACAUACACCAAUUUUUGGAGGAGUAACUUCAUCUGAAGUUU